AGUGAACGCUGGCGGUAGGCCUAACACAUGCAAGACGAGCGGCAGCACAGUAAGAGCUUGCUCUUACGGGUGGCGAGUGGCGGACGGGUGAGGAAUACAUCGGAAUCUACUUUUUCGUGGGGGAUAACGUAGGGAAACUUACGCUAAUACCGCAUACGACCUACGGGUGAAAGCAGGGGAUCUUCGGACCUUGCGCGAUUGAAUGAGCCGAUGUCGGAUUAGCUAGUUGGCGGGGUAAAGGCCCACCAAGGCGACGAUCCGUAGCUGGUCUGAGAGGAUGAUCAGCCACACUGGAACUGAGACACGGUCCAGACUCCUACGGGAGGCAGCAGUGGGGAAUAUUGGACAAUGGGCGCAAGCCUGAUCCAGCCAUACCGCGUGGGUGAAGAAGGCCUUCGGGUUGUAAAGCCCUUUUGUUGGGAAAGAAAAGCAGCAGGUUAAUACCCCGCUGUUCUGACGGUACCCAAAGAAUAAGCACCGGCUAACUUCGUG
rnacentral:rRNA from 1 species